rnacentral:sRNA from 2 species
ACUGCUAUACGUUGUUUACAGCGUGGAAUAAUAGCGAGGAUAUCAUAUUGAACCAUUCACACAUUGUUGACAUGAAGGUUAACGUCGCCCUGGGCUAAUAGCUAGACUGAUUAAUGGCAACAGUGGGGGUUGGCUCGGUGCCAUGUGAGUUGUAUUUCAGUGUACGCUUGAUCUCAUGGUCGUCUUCUCGUCAUCUUGAGCCGAGUCAGAAAAGCAGUUCUAUAAUUCUGGACGGAUUUCCUCGCUGCAUCGCAGCCAGGUGGCGUAGAAGGUUGUACUCAGCUCCUGUUCGAGAAAAAGC